rnacentral:rRNA from 1 species
UACAGAGGGUGCGAGCGUUAAUCGGAAUUACUGGGCGUAAAGCGUGCGUAGACGGUUAUUUAAGUCGGGUGUGAAAGCCCACGGCUCAACCGUGGAAGUGCACCCGAAACUGCCUCGCUAGAGUCUCGGAGAGGAAGGUGGAAUGCUUGGUGUAGAGGUGAAAUUCGUAGAUAUCAAGCGGAACACCGGUGGCGAAGGCGGCCUUCUGGACGAUGACUGACGCUGAGACGCGAAAGCGUGGGGAGCAAACAGG